CGCGGCCUAUCAGCUUGUUGGUGAGGUAACGGCUCACCAAGGCAUCGACGGGUAGCUGGUCUGAGAGGACGAUCAGCCACACUGGGACUGAGACACGGCCCAGACUCCUACGGGAGGCAGCAGUAGGGAAUCUUGCGCAAUGGGGGCAACCCUGACGCAGCAACGCCGCGUGUGGGAUGACGGCUUUCGGGUUGUAAACCACUUUCAGUGAUGACGAAAAUGACGGUAAUCACAGAAGAAGGUCCGGCCAACUACGUGCCAGCAGCCGCGGUAACACGUAGGGACCAAGCGUUGUCCGGAUUUAUUGGGCGUAAAGAGCUCGUAGGCGGUUCUGUAAGUCGGGUGUGAAAACUCAAGGCUCAACCUUGAGACGCCACUCGAUACUGCUGUGACUUGAGUCCGGUAGAGGAGUGUGGAAUUCCUGGUGUAGCGGUGAAAUGCGCAGAUAUCAGGAGGAACACCAGCGGCGAAGGCGGCACUCUGGGCCGGUACUGACGCUGAGGAGCGAAAGCAUGGGGAGCAAACAGGAUUAGAUACCCUGGUAGUCCAUGCCGUAAACGUUGGGCACUAGGUAUGGGAUCAUAUCAACGGAUUCCGUGCCGUAGCUAACGCAUUAAGUGCCCCGCCUGGGGAGUACGG
rnacentral:rRNA from 1 species